rnacentral:rRNA from 1 species
GUUCGGUCCCUAUCCGUCGCGGGCGCAGGAAAUUUGAGAGGAGCUGUCCUUAGUACGAGAGGACCGGGAUGGACGCACCGCUGGUGUACCAGUUGUUCUGCCAAGGGCAUCGCUGGGUAGCUAUGUGCGGACGGGAUAAGUGCUGAAAGCAUCUAAGCAUGAAGCCCCCCUCAAGAUGAGAUUUCCCAUUCCGCAAGGAAGUAAGAUCCCUGAAAGAUGAUCAGGUUGAUAGGUCUGAGGUGGAAGUGUGGCGACACAUGGAGCUGACAGAUACUAAUCGAUCGAGGACUUAACCCA